ACUCGCUUGGUGAAAGUAAGGUAAACACGAUGGAUUUAAAAUCCAUUCUCUAUGAGUUACCGGUUCGAGUCCGGUAGCGAGUA
rnacentral:tRNA from 1 species